UUUGUAAGAAGUGUUAAUAAUUUAAUUUAUUUAUGCAUCGAGAUUUUGGGCACUAUUAAUAUGGAAUUAUAUAAAACCUCGAUUAUUUAUAUCGAAAUCCGGACAUAGGGAUUUUGUGUUGGCUUUGGAACAAAAGGCUAUUUUAUUUUAUUUUUUUUCCCGUUCUGAGGAUAGUCUAAAGAAAAAAAAAACGCACCUACCUAUCACUUAGCGGAGGGGACUAAGUGGAGCCGGUGAUGACUCAUUAGCUUAGGAAACCCUAUUAAGCUGAAAAGCGGUAGCUUCCAUCUGUCCCAGGUGAAGUUAAUGUCAGCUGUAAUUUAUUCACCGUAGUAAUAAGGGCUCCUUUCAGGCGACACACACACUUUAUUUCGUCCUCACCUUCUCCUGCCGACGAGCUUAGCGCACCGAAACAGCACCCGCACCCUCUCCUUUCGCCACCGACUCUAGAGAAAGCGCCUUAUGUUUCAUAAUAAAGAAGAUUUGGGGUUGACACAGACCAUGUAUAAUACUUUGUACUUGCCGAGACGUGUAAAUAAACGUUUUCUUUAAAAACGCCUCUCCGCUCCCUGCGUGCCUCGGGGCGCCGCCGCCGCACCGGGACCGGGACGGGGACGGGGACGGGGACCGGAGCCGGGCUGGAAACGGCGGGGCCGAGCCGGAGUGAACAAAUCCGUUUUGAGGCGAUUUCUGUGCCCCGGCUGGAGCGUAGGCUGAACCGCGCAUGGAAAUAGAUGAGGACAAAGUGAAGCAGCCAAGCCAAGUCCCACACCUGUAACUCUUCCUGAGCCCACCAGGCAGGGGGAGAGCUCAGCUGCUCCCAGC
rnacentral:lncRNA from 1 species